CAGAUGUUCAUCCAGACGGCCACUCUGACCGUGUCCAUGUCCCUCAGUGCGUCCGUCUCCCUGGGGAUGCUCUACAUGCCCAAAGUCUACGUCAUCGUCUUCCAUCCGGAGCAGAACGUCCAGAAGAGGAAGAGAAGCUUCAAGGCUGCUGCCCAGGCUGUUUCUCAGAAGUCAGUCAGUGAGAAACAGAACGGAGCCAAGAUUGAACCAGACAGAUCUCAGUGAUGCAGCCGACUGCAGGUACCAGCUGCUCCACCAACCAUCACCACAGUAAAACCACCUGUCCACACUUUACCUGGCUCAGCGGC